UUACGGCCACAUCACGUUGAAACAUUGGUUCCCGCAUGAUCACCGAUGUUAAGCAACAUCGAGCCUGGUCAGUACCUAGAUGGGUGACCGCUUGGGAAUACCAGGAGUUGUAAG